AAAGGAAUAAUGUUUAAGAAAAAGCUGCUAACUUUUUUCUUUAAUGGUUAAAUUCCAUUUAUUUCUUUA
rnacentral:tRNA from 1 species